rnacentral:rRNA from 1 species
UAGUUCCUGUAACAAAACAAUUCGCCAGAGAACUACUAGCAACAGCUUAAAACUCAAAGGACUUGGCGGUGCUUUAUAUCCCUCUAGAGGAGCCUGUUCUAUAAUCGAUAAACCCCGAUAAACCUCACCAUCCCUUGCUAAUACAGUCUAUAUACCGCCAUCUUCAGCAAA